UUUUGCAAAGGUAUCCUUAUAACAUUGGGCCUAGGGCUACAAAUAGAUGACCUUUAGGUGCAUCUACAAAUGGAUGACCUAAAGACAACCUAUUUGCAUGCAUAAGGGGGUCUCUUUUGCCUGUUUGUUCUUCGUUGGCUAAGUAAGCAGACCGCGGCAAUUGCGCUUCCUUUUGUUGUCAACGGGGUCCUCUAAUAACCUCGCCUAGAAAAAGAAAAUGAAAAAAAAAUGCAUGAUUCGCCAGCCGCCGCCUCUCUCCUUUACCAGUCUGGCAGUACAACCUCUCGCGGUGUCCUCAUCCGGCUGGGUGGUUGCUUCCCUUGUUGCCUUGCCCUGAGCGCUACAAGCCUACAACUUGGCUGCUCAACUCCCCCCCGUCUCCGAUCCGUACCCAGCCACGGAAUUGAUUGUCCUAUUCAUCCCUCCAUGGCUGCCAUCUCUACUUCGAUAUGAUGGCUGGCAGAUCCCAAUUCUCAUCGGCUCCCCUGGCGCCUCUCACUGCUGACCUCGCUCUUCGAUCUACAGCUUCUCCCCGAUGCACGGUAACUAUGUGGAGUCUGGUCGCCAUCGACACAGGCCGCGACGCGCUCGCCGGCCCCUCUCACCCUCUCUCGUGAGGUUGGGAGACGAAGGCUGCCGCCGGCGCUGCUGGUGCUCCUACUCCGGCUGCAAUAAUAGAAUGAUGCCUCUGAACUUGAGAAGACGCGGAAGUCGUCACCACGGAUUUGUAGAUCAGGUCCAAUGUUCAUAAAAAAUGCACCGGAAGGUACGUGAGGACCGGAGGAGUGGACUUGACCUGGACGGACGCCGUUCGGCAUGGUGGGCUCAGUUAAGAUCAAAUUUAAUAGGAGUGUUAUGAAUAUUAAAUUUGCCAAUAUGAUAGAAGAAAAAGAAAGAGGAGUAUCAUGAGA